CCCACAGACCAGGACUUCAUUUAAGCUCAGACCUGGCACCUGGCCUUGGCUUGAGCUCCAUCAGAAGCUCAUUUCUCCAUCAGAAGCUCAUUUCUGUCUGCUGCUCCUCUUGCUUAUUGAGUGGUUUUCCCAGGUCACCUCCAAAGCAGUGCUGUUUCUGGCUUUGGUUCCAGCCCUUUUUCUGGCUAUGCAUCUAGGCUGGACCUUAGGCCUGCACUGGAACCCUGUUUCCUGCUUCUAACUGGAGUCUUUCAUCACCUUGCCUCAUCCAGAGAAGUCAACAGGACCUGCUGGCAUCCUGAAACAGAAUUUGCUCUAUUGGUAGUGAGGAGUUGGCUUUAAGGCCACCUCUUGCUGCAACGUUUUUCUUCUGAGGCUCAGCUUCCACUUCCGUAUGGUUUCUAGACCUAAGAGUUACUAAUGAAAGAAAGCAAUGUGCAGAACAAUGCUGUCAGCUAUGCAAAACCCCCAAUGCUUCCACAGACGUUUAAUUGAACAGGUUCUUGGGUCCAGCUUAGCACAGGAUGCUGCUGCACGGGGAGAAGUGCUUGCCCCACCUCACUUCAGGAUGCUUAUCUGGAUGAUGGUGAGGGGAAGGCCGCUGACUGGGAUGAACCACUCUCCUGUCCAUUGAUUUGGAGUGUUUUGCAGCCUCUGGAAUGGUGCAUGGUGGAAGAGGAUUGAGGCCAUGUAGCCCAUUCUUCUGCACUGAGAUGAAAACAGCCACACUAAUCUUUUUUGAUGAUUCCCAGUGAAGGAGAUCCUACAAGCACCUUGGCAAGUGAUUCCAGUGUAUUCUUACCACUGUUAUUUGCUUGUUUUUCCUCAUAUCCAAAUAUUUUUCGCGGAAAUUUAAAUGCCCUACUUUUGCCCUGCCUUGCCCUACCCUGCCCUGCCCAUCAUGGGGAACAAAUUAUGUCCAUCCUCUGAAGGCUGAACAUCUUCUCUCUGAAUUCUUUGUAAUAUAGUCCAUGAGCUUCUUGGUGUGCAUUGCCCACAAUUGAAAAUACAUCAGUUGUGACCUUAUUGGUGUAGAGGGCAGCUCAGAAUGUAUUUUGGUUUAUACACUGCAGUGUGGUAUCUGCAUUUGCACAACAGCAUAGUCUCUUUUGCUUUGAUUCUGCCUGACUUCCUAGCACUGCUCCUGGGGGGGCAGCCCCGUACUGCCCUCUCUGUGCUUAUAUACCUUCUUUCAUGACAGUUAUGACAGAAGCAAACAUUAGUUUGAACCAGGACUUGCCUGUUGGUUU
rnacentral:lncRNA from 1 species